UACAGAGGGGGCAAGCGUUAUUCGGAAUUAUUGGGCGUAAAGGGCGCGUAGGCGGCCUGACAAGUGGAAGGUGAAAUCCCUCGGCUUAACCGAGGAACUGCCCUCCAAACUGUUUGGCUUGAGACCGGGAGAGGUGAGUGGAAUUCCCAGUGUAGCGGUGAAAUGCGUAGAUAUCAAGAGGAACACCUGCGGCGAAGGCGGGUUGCUGGGCCGACACUGACGCUGAGGCGCGAAAGCUAGGGGAGCGAACGGG
rnacentral:rRNA from 1 species